CUUUGAUGUUCUCAAAGCUCUCAAAAAGUUUUGAAUAUAUACCGGACACCGCGUUGUUUCAGCACUGAGGUGGCAGUUAAAAGGCAGCCGUGGAGCAGCCACGGCUCACGUACCUCAGUGGCGGCUGCUACCAUAGCAACCUGACGUAGGGGAGGCGUGACAUCACACACAGCAGGAGCCGGAAGUCGCGGGAGCGCGGUGUGAAUGGAGAUGCCGGGGGCGUUCUUCUUUCACGUACUGGCGGGUUUCUACCCUUACUUAAGGUCUUCUAUUGUGGAUAUGACUCACCACUACUAGUACAUCGAUUCAUGUGGCUCCUCUGAGAUUAUAUAAACCACCAAAAUAAAGACUUUUAUUUAC